rnacentral:rRNA from 1 species
UCGGGAAUUUUGGGCAAUGGGCGAAAGCCUGACCCAGCAACGCCGCGUGAAGGAUGAAGUAUUUCGGUAUGUAAACUUCGUAAGAAUAGGAAGAAUAAAUGACGGUACUAUUUAUAAGGUCCGGCUAACUACGUGCCAGCAGCCGCGGUAAUACGUAGGGACCAAGCGUUGUUCGGAUUUACUGGGCGUAAAGGGCGCGUAGGCGGCAUGACAAGUCACUUGUGAAAUCUCUGGGCUUAACCCAGAACGGCCAAGUGAUACUGUCGCGCUAGAGUGCAGAAGGGGCAAUCGGAAUUCUUGGUGUAGCGGUGAAAUGCGUAGAUAUGUGGAGGAAUACCGAUGGCGAAGGCAGCCCCCUGGGAUAACACUGACGCUCAUGCACGAAAGCGUGGGGAGCAAACAGGAUUAGAUACCCCUGUAGUCCCUGAGCGGGCUGGCAAGGCGCAU